GCAUGGGUAUGGAUUAUGACGGGCCUGUCUCACUGGUCCUGUCAUAGUGCCUCUGCCAGAGCAAACUCUGGCCAUGGCCUUUGUUCUCUGAUGGUGGACUCCUGGCCCUGAUGUAAGUCGCACAGUG
rnacentral:snoRNA from 1 species